AUUCUUAUAAUAAAAAUUCUUUCCAAAUUUUCUAACGUUUUUAUUUACAGAUUGUGAGCUUCCUGACUAUUAUUGGUAAUUCGAUGAGCCUUGUUAAUAUUUACAGCUACAAGUUUCUAAAGUAUUGUACUAUGGUGGAGAAGGCCAAAGCCCUAAGCAUGAAUAUAUCAUCUAUGGGAGAAUUAACUUCAGCACAGUUUAAUACUAUACUGCAUAAAUUCAAAAACUACUUUGGACAUAUUGUGACUAUGGCUAUUGAGAAACGCAUUGGCAUUUUCAGUGUUUUAAGUUUUGAUUAUCAGUCAGAAUGCUUACUGUAUAUCGAUAACAUCAUACAUAUGAGCCAGGACCUCUUGCUGCAUAUAACUGAGGGAAAAAAUACAAGCCUACUGGAAAUUGUAGAAUCAUCAUUGCGACAACUGGAAUGUGAUCCCACUAAAAUGGAAGA
rnacentral:lncRNA from 1 species